GUCAAGGUGGUGGAGUGGUUAACACGUUCGCCUGCUAUUCCAAGCUUAGCGGAUGCCUUCGGGCGCGCAGGUUCGAAUCCUGUCCUUGACG
rnacentral:tRNA from 1 species